rnacentral:rRNA from 1 species
UAGGGAAUCUUCCGCAAUGGACGCAAGUCUGACGGAGCAACGCCGCGUGAGUGAAGAAGGUUUUCGGAUCGUAAAACUCUGUUGUUAGAGAAGAACAAGUGCUAGAGUAACUGUUAGCGCCUUGACGGUAUCUAACCAGAAAGCCACGGCUAACUACGUGCCAGCAGCCGCGGUAAUACGUAGGUGGCAAGCGUUGUCCGGAUUUAUUGGGCGUAAAGCGAGCGCAGGCGGUUCCUUAAGUCUGAUGUGAAAGCCCCCGGCUCAACCGGGGAGGGUCAUUGGAAACUGGGGAACUUGAGUGCAGAAGAGGAGAGUGGAAUUCCAUGUGUAGCGGUGAAAUGCGUAGAUAUAUGGAGGAACACCAGUGGCGAAGGCGACUCUCUGGUCUGUAACUGACGCUGAGGCUCGAAAGCGUGGGUAGCAAACAGGAUUAGAUACCCUGGUAGUCCACGCCGUAAACGAUGAGUGCUAAGUGUUGGAGGGUUUCCGCCCUUCAGUGCUGCAGUUAACGCAUUAAGCACUCCGCCUGGGGAGUACGACCGCGAGGUUG